AAAAUGAUAAAAUUGUUCACUUAUAUAAAUCUGGCAAUAUGGGCUGGAUGUUUCUACCGAACUACCUAAAAUAGUUGUAGGCUAUAAGUGCUUUAUGCACUAUA
rnacentral:ncRNA from 2 species